UUCCACCUGCAAUUCGGGCUAGGUACUCCACCUGAAGCUAAGUAGGUUUGGGCCUGGCCAGUACUUGGAUGGGAGACCAACUAGGAACUGCUGGAAAAGGUGUAGG
rnacentral:rRNA from 1 species